UGUUACGUUAACUGUCAAUUAUAAUUAAUCCCAAAAAAAAAUUUUGUUUAUGUUUUGAAUUGAAAAGAUAAUGGAGAAAACAAUAUUUGGCUCCUCAUUGGUGGUGGAAUAUUGUUCCAACACUUGGACGCAGCAUAACGAAAACUUCCUCUAAAGGCUGCUGAACUGUGUUGAGGUAUUGUGAUUUGCAUAGCAGCUUUUCGAGUAUCACAGGACCUACGAUCUGAAAACCAGGAAAGCUUUUUAUAUAAAAACUCCACAACAUAAAGUAACCAUUUUUAGAAGUACAGCUGGGUGUGGUGGAUGUAUAAGCAUCAAUCUGAUUAGGAAUAAUGUUCCAUGAAAUUUGGGCAGUGUUUAAAUCACCAGCUACUAAUGCAUCACUGUUAUCUAUCAGAGUAAUAGCACUCACUAGUGAUACAGUAUAAUUGAUUUUCAAGCCAAAGCAAAACAAAACAAAACAUUGUUAAAGGUGGCGGCAAGUAUACAUCACAAUUACAUAAACUAUUAAAUAUAUUUUUAUCAGG